rnacentral:rRNA from 1 species
AAAUUGAAGAGUUUGAUCAUGGCUCAGAUUGAACGCUGGCGGCAGGCCUAACACAUGCAAGUCGAGCGGUAGCACAGAGAGCUUGCUCUCGGGUGACGAGCGGCGGACGGGUGAGUAAUGUCUGGGAAACUGCCUGAUGGAGGGGGAUAACUACUGGAAACGGUAGCUAAUACCGCAUAAUGUCGCAAGACCAAAGUGGGGGACCUUCGGGCCUCAUGCCAUCAGAUGUGCCCAGAUGGGAUUAGCUAGUAGGUGGGGU